CGGGUGAGUAAAGUAUAGGUUACGUGCCUUCGGGUCCGGGAUAACAGUUGGAAACGGCUGCUAAUACCGGAUAUUCCCUACGGGGGAAAAGUCCGCUGCCCGGGGAUCGGCCUAUAUCGUAUCAGCUUGUUGGUGGGGUAACGGCUCACCAAGGCUAUGACGCGUAGCUGGUCUGAGAGGAUGAUCAGCCACACUGGAACUGAGACACGGUCCAGACUCCUACGGGAGGCAGCAGUGGGGAAUAUUGCGCAAUGGGGGAAACCCUGACGCAGCAACGCCGCGUGGAGGACGACACAUUUCGGUGCGUAAACUCCUUUUAUCAGGGAAGAUAAUGACGGUACCUGAUGAAUAAGCACCGGCUAACUCCGUGCCAGCAGCCGCGGUAAUACGGGGGGUGCAAGCGUUACUCGGAAUCACUGGGCGUAAAGGGUGCGUAGGCGUCCUGAUAAGUAUUCUGUGAAAGCCACUGGCUCAACCAGUGAAUUGCAGAGUAAACUGUCAGGAUAGAGUAUGGAAGGGGCAGGUGGAAUUUCCGGUGUAGGGGUAAAAUCCGUAGAGAUCGGAAGGAAUACCGACGGCGAAGGCAACCUGCUGGGACAUUACUGACGCUGAGGCACGAAAGCGUGGGGAGCAAACAGGAUUAGAUACCCUGGUAGUCCACGCCCUAAACGAUGGAUGCUAGUUGUCGUGGCGCUUAGACGUUGCGGUAACGCAGCUAACGCAUUAAGCAUCCCGCCUGGGGAGUACGGUCGCAAGAUUAAAACUCAAAGGAAUAGACGGGGACCCGCACAAGCGGUGGAGCAUGUGGUUUAAUUCGAAAAUACGCGAAGAACCUUACCAGGGCUUGACAUCCCGAGAAUCUUUUGGAAACAAGAGAGUGCCUGCUUGCAGGAAUUCGGUGACAGGUGCUGCACGGCCGUCGUCAGCUCGUGUCGUGAGAUGUUGGGUUAAGUCCCGCAACGAGCGCAACCCUCGUCGUUAGUUGCCAGCAGUUCGGCUGGGCACUCUAACGAGACUGCCCUCGCAAGGGGGAGGAAGGUGAGGACGACGUCAGGUCAUCAUGGCCCUUAUGUCCUGGGCUACACACGUGCUACAAUGGUUGGUACAGUGAGACGCGAGACCGCGAGGUGGAGCAAAUCUCCAAAGCCAAUCCCAGUUCGGAUUGUUCUCUGCAACUCGAGAGCAUGAAGCUGGAAUCGCUAGUAAUCGUAGAUCAGCAAUGCUACGGUGAAUACGUUCCCGGGUCUUGUACUCACCGCCCGUCACACCAUGGGAGUUGAUUUCACCCGAAGACGGGAUGCUAACCUUCGGGAGGCUACCGUCCACGGUGGGAUCAGCGACUGGGGUGAAGUCGGAACAAGGUA
rnacentral:rRNA from 1 species